rnacentral:lncRNA from 1 species
ACCAGCUGCCUCUGAUUUCAAUGAGAAAUGCAGAAAAUUUAUAGGGAACUGUAAAAUGGGGACAGAUUUUUAGUUUUCUAAAUUGAGGUUUAACUGGCAAACUUGUAAAGGUUGAAGAAACCACAGAGCCAAGCUAUGGGAAGCUGGUUUCUUUUCUGGUCAGAAGGAAUGAACACACAAACACAUAUCUAACUCACAAAGUGCUGGAAGAGAGAAAGCAAUGCUCUUUCCAGAGGAGGAACACGGAAAAAUCAGCCUUGUGGGUGAACAGGAGGAGAGUCACAUUCGCCAGCAGGCAGCACCCUGUGCAGGCAGUGGGAGAAAUCUGAGCUUCAGCAGCGUCCGGAGCAGGAUUUGCACGAAGUCUCCCGUUUCAAGUUUUAUGUCUCCUGGAGUCCUGGGGAAGGCACCCAGCCCACCCACAGCUCCCUUCUCAGAGCCCUAAGAAUUGAUGAGAAAGCCCCUCACUACCACAUGCAGGACACGCAGGACACCCAUGAAAGAAAAGCAAUUAAAUAGAAACAACCAACUAAGAAGGCAAUUCUAGCACCUACACUAGAAGAAAAAAAAAAGGUCUAAAUCCCAGAGCGUCUGUCUGCAAAUAACUACAGGUUUCCUUGUGAGCAGAGCCCCAAAUAACUACAGGUUUUCUCGUGAUCAGAGUCACACACAACGACAGGUUUUCCUGUGAACAGAGCCACGGGCCCGGAACUGGGGAAGCACCAAGUCCUGAAGUUGGCUGGUUGUUCCUCCCCAUGAGCAAUACCUGUGGCACUGUUUACUUGCUCGGAGUGUGUGCGGCUCUACUCCAGCCCAGAAAGGGCCCAUCGCAGCAAGAAAUCUCACCUCCCCAGGGGUGUAGAAAGACCUGGGCCUGUAUAUAUGUCUAUACCCAUGGCUUCCGGAGAAAUCAACACUAGAUCUAAGAUGAGCUGAAUAAUAAGAAAAUUACCCCCUCCACAACAACAACAACCAACACUGAAUAGGGAGAGGUGUAUCUGGGUGUAAAAGUUAAGUUUGACUGUGCACCUUUUCUGUGUUAGACACAGUACUAGUCAUUAACAUCAUCUCAAGUUACUUUUGCAAACUGGUGAAAGUGCUGCUGUUAUACUCAUUUUACAAGUGAGGACACUAAGGCUCAGAGAGAAUAUGCCACUUGCCAAGAUCAUCCAGUUAUUUAUGACUCCCCACUGCCACUAGCACUAGAAGCUAACAGCUAUUGAGUGCUACGUGUCAGGCACUGCUCUAAGCACUUAAUAUAUGAAUUCUUUUCAGUCAUCUUUAUAUGUUGUAUACAUGGCUGGCAAUAUUCUCAUUUUUCAGAGGAAAUUGCCCAGAGAGGUUAAGUAACUUUCCCAAGUUCACACAGCUAGAAAGUAAUAGAGGCAGAAUUUGAAGUGUUAGCCACUGUAUUACACUGCUACUCAUUAACAUUUUAUAAUGCAUAUGGAAUUUCAAAUGCACACACACAGACGGCAUUCAUAGAGAAACUCAAUCUGAGUCAUUUUGAAAAGAAGAUUAGACUCAGAGUUUAGCUGUAAUCUUUCCUUUCUACCCAAGACAGCUGUGUACUUUGGGCACAAUACUUAAGGUAUCUGAUUCUGUGUCUUCAUUUGGAAAAUGGGAGUUACUAUGAGGCUUAAAUAAGACUGUGCUUGUAGAAGUGUCCAGGGGAGUACCAGAGAGAGGGCUGCCAGCCACACUCACCAAAGCGGCAGACACAUGCACUGUCUACCCUCAGAUAACGUUCCUUUGGCACGUUCUGGGGAACAGUGGCUUGACUCUCACUGUACUUCUUACUCCAUUUUCUCUCCAGUUUCUCUAAUUUUCACACUUUUGAAUGCCAGCCUUGCCAAGCUUGGCAUUAUCAAGAGGCUGUGGUUGAUAAAGCAGGUACAAGUAUAUGAGAUGGGAGGAUAUGUUUGAACUCAGGCACUGUUUUAGCAAAAUGUGUUCUGUCUCAGUCAGCACAGGAAAAAAAGCUUUUAACAUUCCCGUUAAGAAGACUCACAGGCUCCGCACACAUUAAAUAACUCUCACAAAACAACAUUUUAAUGAUUUACGUGUAAAUGAAUCAGAAACACAUGGACGACAUUUCUCUUGGAAUACACAAGGGUUUUAAAACUGAAGGAGAAAGAGCUUGGCAAAAUGCACACUGUGCUGGGAAGAGGGCCCCUGCCCAGUAAAGACAUUCCCUCAAUUCAUGCUGCCACGGAGUUUGCCCUCUCCUAAUUUAGGGCAUAUACUGGGAACUGCAGUCAUUUGUUCUGGGUACAGAGGGAAGAGCUUGGGCGAGAAAGCCAUCAGCUUCUCCUUGGAAAGUGUCACAGAGCAAUUAGGCCUCCUGGAAUAAUUUUCUAGCCAUGUUUCUUCAAGGCUGCCAAUGUUCAAUGGAAAGCAUUCGAGAUGUGUUCUAAGCCAAAGUUCUGCCAAUAUAUAGCAGAUCUGAUAUGUGCGCUUCCCUGGGAGUUAGCCAAGGCUCAGAGGAAAUCUGCAUAAAAACAGGAACUACGUGGCCCAGGAAUGAUCUGCAUGUGAUUCAGGACAGUUUUCUACUUGGUUACACUACAUAUUGUCUGAUGCUUUUGAUGAAUCUCCCUGAAGUGUCACUAAGAGAUCAUGGGUCAUCAGGGGUGGGAGGAAUGGAAGGGACAUUAGGCUGGAAACAGAACUGGGCUCAGUGACUAUAGGCCAGCUUGCAUGUGACCUUGGG